rnacentral:rRNA from 1 species
AACGAACGCUGGCGGCAUGCCUAACACAUGCAAGUCGAACGAGACCUUCGGGUCUAGUGGCGCACGGGUGCGUAACGCGUGGGAAUCUGCCCUUGGGUUCGGAAUAACAGUUGGAAACGACUGCUAAUACCGGAUGAUGACGUAAGUCCAAAGAUUUAUCGCCCAAGGAUGAGCCCGCGUAGGAUUAGCUAGUGGGUGAGGUAAAGGCUCACCAAGGCGACGAUCCUUAGCUGGUCUGAGAGGAUGAUCAGCCACACUGGGACUGAGACACGGCCCAGACUCCUACGGGAGGCAGCAGUGGGGAAUAUUGGACAAUGGGCGAAAGCCUGAUCCAGCAAUGCCGCGUGAGUGAUGAAGGCCUUAGGGUUGUAAAGCUCUUUUAACCGGGAUGAUAAUGACAGUACCGGGAGAAUAAGCUCCGGCUAACUCCGUG